rnacentral:rRNA from 1 species
CACGUAGGGGGCAAGCGUUGUCCGGAUUUAUUGGGCGUAAAGAGCUCGUAGGUGGUUCGGUAAGUCGGGUGUUAAACCCCCAGGCUCAACCUGGGGACGCCACUCGAUACUGCUGUGACUUGAGUCCGGUAGGGGAGCGUGGAAUUCCUGGUGUAGCGGUGAAAUGCGCAGAUAUCAGGAGGAACACCAGUAGCGAAGGCGGCACUCUGGGCCGGAACUGACGCUGAGGAGCGAAAGCGUGGGUAGCAAACAGG